AAUUCCCUCCAAAUUAGGCUUUGCUCAACUCUAGGACCACAAGUGCACUUAUGAGCACUAUGUCGUUUUCUUUUAUGAACCACUUAACCACUACUCUAGGAUAGGGUCUAGGGUGCGAAAGUUAAACAACUUUCACAUCGUACGUUAAUUCCAUUUUUUUUUUAAAUUGAGUUUUGAUUAAUCUAAGUCGUACGUUUGGUUUUAAAAAAAAUGAAGGGUCAGGAUUUUCUCAUAGCUAUCGGUUUGUUACCCGUUUUGGUGUGCACAUCUUUGGGUUUGGUGUUGUUCUGUUUUUUAAUGUUGGGACCCUAAUUGCGACGGUAUGUGCAUGGUUGCAUUGACGUCCUGUAGCCAUCUUUGGUCGUUAUUGUUGUUGGUAUCUAUGGCGAUUUAAAGUGCAAAUUAAGGAGUGGUUUUGGAAAGACGAUUUUUUCAGCAUGGUUGGUGAUGAUGUUGUUAUUUGUUGGUUAAGGUGGGGAUGUAAGGCCAUUGAAAAGGGAAAUUGAUGUUUGGUUCAGAAAGGAAGCAUAAUUGGUUCACAUGGUGUUUUGUUUGAGGCAACAAUGGCAUUUGAUUUGUCUAAUAAAGGAGAUGUUAUGAGGUAUGGUUUUGUUUGCAUGUUGCAUGUUGUCUUCUUUUCGUGGUUGUUGAAUUAAUUUAUUUUGUAGUUCCCCGUGGUUGAUGAUUUGUUUCCAUAUUGUUAAUGCAAAUGAAUUUAGUUCAAAUGAAAAAUGAUUCGUUGUUUGUUUUUGAUUUGGUGAACCUAAAACAAUGGUUUGUUAAUUAAUUUUAUGGUUUAAUUUAUGAGGGCUUGAAUCAUUAUUGUUGGUUGUCUCGUGGAAGCGUUGUGAACGCAUAGGAAGUGUUGGAAAUUUUAUUGGUUGUAUCUGAAAGAUUAUUUCAGCGUCAAGAAUAGAGAAGAACAUUGCAAAGCAGAAGGAUAAACAAAGAAAUAGUGCAAUAGACAGAAGAGGUGUCAAGUGUCGUAAAUCGUUUAUGUUUGCGAUAGGGUUGCAGUGGCUUUUGCGAUUGAAAUACAUAGGUUCACUUGUCAAUUGAAGAAACAUGCAUUUGUUCUGGUCACGACAAAAAUUCCGUGGGAGACAUGAAUAUCAUCGGAAAAAUAAGGCCCCUAGAAGAGAGAAUAAAGAUGCUUCAUAUUGUACAACCUUCAUCAUUAAGUUUGUAAGCAUUGUCAAUGGAAAUUCGUAACACAUUAAAUCUUUAUAUACCUUAGUAGUUGUUAAAGAGAGGUUUAGACAAGAGACUAAAUGCUUUAGAAGAUGGAAACAAAGACAUUCUAAAGGCCAUAUGCAACCUUCUUCGACAAGAGGCAUGUAACUCGCCAAAGAAUACAGGAGACCAUGUUCCCAUUUGUGAAAGCAAAAGCAAGUCGCCUAUGGAAAAAAUAGUUGAUUCACUGAGCGCAAAAUACCUUCAGAGGAACGCAGAAGCCAAAAUAUGAACGGGAUGUGUUGGAUGUGCGUCUUUGGCCAAUCUAAAAAAUAUCGAAACCAUUGUCAUCCUAGAAGAUGAAGAUGCUCAUGACCGAAAAGAAUGUUUGACUUUCAUGUCGGGCAAGUUCAUUCGUGACAAAAAAAGAGAGUCAUUAGACCACCAACACCAAACAACCUUUGGGAACCAGCCGACAAUAACACCACUUCUGAUGAAUUUUGUAAGGACAAACCUUUCACGAGCAACUACAACAUGGGGAUACAGUGCAAGCGGAAGCAGUGUGUGUUUAAGCCAACUGCCGACAUGAAAUUGUCGAUCGAGGAAGCAUGUGUGUGUGCAUAUUUAACACUCAAAGUGAGACACAAGUGACAAGGAGAUGUUUUUUCCGAUUGGAAACAAUUUUGGCACGAGAAGACAUUUUGAGAGUCUAUGUCCAAAUAAGACAAUAGCUGAUGAGGUUAAUCAUUAAUUCAUUACCUUUUAAGUAAAAGUCGACAUGAUGUCAUCAACCCAUCCACUUACUUUUCUGACCUGUGUAACACAUAUUUUUAGAUUUUUUUGUUUAUGGCUUUAAAAAUAACACACUCCCAGCUUCAUGGAACAAACAAGUAUGUUUGGUGUCUGCCUACACCUUUUGCAGUAUGCCUUUUCCAUCACAUUAGCUUCUUAUUAGAAAAUUUUAAUAUUGGUGAAUUACUCACACAUACAUCUUCUUUGUUGUGAUCUUGAUGGAACUUUAUUUUUCACCACUGAAUAGGCUGAUGUGUUAUCGGGAACCAGAGUCGACAAACUUGUAGACUAUUACGGGAAAGAUUUCAUGUUGUCAUAUGCAUGCCUAAAUCAUAUAUAUAUACCUAUUUAUGAAGAUACCAGUCAUUGGUAUCUGAUGGUUAUAUGCAUCAAUGACAAGAAAUUUUACCACUUAGAUUCAAACAUGACACUUGAAUUUGUGGAGGACAGAAGACAAGUAAUAAGAACUAAGGUAGGUGCAACCAUUAUAUACAAUUCAAUUUGGUUUCAUUACUUACAUCAACAUUUCAAAUUACAUUUAUUGAUUAAUGAACCAAUAAUUUUCAUGGCGAAUUCAGGGUAACAUCAUGUUGUGUGUAUUGACUACUUUUUUAGACACACUACACAUUAGUUGGGGAAUAAAGGAUAUGGAUCAUUGGGAGAUCCUACAACCAAGGGGAAUCCCAAAUUAUGGAUCUAGGUUAACAGUCUAUCCAAAAAUGAUUAAUAUUUUCUUGCACGCAUUGUUAUUUAAGGGGACAACACGAUAUGCUCUUUGGGUUUUUGAAAAAAUGUCAAACAUAUUGCAGCGACAAUUCAUGUUUAUGGAUGCUUGAGUGGAUGCAGAUGGAGGACUCUUUUGUUACCAUAUUGUACGGGUUGGUAAGACUUCGACAACUCAUUCGAAUAUCCAUCAUAAUAUUUGUGGUUAAUGAUGAAAUCAAUAAAUAACGCUCUUAUUGAAUAACAAAUUGAUGACAAAUAUGUUAGAAUGAAAGUUGCAAUGACAUUGCCACUUGGGGCACACAACGACAACAAAAGCAUACUUGUCACCGUUGCUCCAUUGAAUUGGGAUGAUUUCUUUCAGGGGAAUCGUUGAAAAUGAGUUCAUCAAUGUCAUUGGAUUUUAUGUAAAUCCAAAAUUGGUCAUGUUUUUUUGCUAUAAAAUUGCGGGAAUGCUUUAUUUCAAUAAUUAGAUGGGGUUGUAUAUUUUGGGGCAACACAUUAAAAUACCUUUAAUAUUGCUAUUCAUAUGCAAUAUUAAAACAUAUAUUUCUAUUGUUAGUUGUCCAAAUAUUUGGUUCGGGUAUUCCCCCUUGGUACUUCAGUUUAUAUUUUAUAAUUGUAUUACAACAACUAUGGAAUACUAUAUGUUGCCAUUGAUGGUUAAAAGAUUAAGGAUAUCUGGUGUUCAUCAAGUAA